rfam:Streptomyces sp. MTSC 1 11, whole genome shotgun sequence.
UCGCGUCAAGCGCCGUAGGCAGGAGCGGGGGACCCAAGGUAGGUGCUGGAACCGGCAGUUGACGCCGGAACCGGCUUGGGGUGGAGCCGCAGGCCCGUGAAAGCGGGCGUGCGGCCGGGCAACUCAACCGGCCCGAACCCGACAGCUCACCUCGCAGGCGUCGGUGAGGGGAUCG